rnacentral:rRNA from 1 species
GCUUGCUGGUAAGAGAAAGUGGCGCACGGGUGCGUAACGCGUAUGCAACCUACCUUCAUCAGGGGGAUAGCCCGGAGAAAUCCGGAUUAAUACCGCAUAAAAUCACAGGAUGGCAUUAUCCAAUGAUCAAACAUUUAUGGGAUGGAGAUGGGCAUGCGUGUCAUUAGCUGGUUGGCGGGGUAACGGCCCACCAAGGCGACGAUGACUAGGGGAUCUGAGAGGAUGGCCCCCCACACUGGUACUGAGACACGGACCAGACUCCUACGGGAGGCAGCAGUAAGGAAUAUUGGUCAAUGGGGGCAACCCUGAACCAGCCAUGCCGCGUGCAGGAAGACUGCCCUAUGGGUUGUAAACUGCUUUUAUCCGGGAAUAAACCUGCUUACGUGUAAGUAGCUGAAUGUACCGGAAGAAUAAGGAUCGGCUAACUCCGUGCCAGCAGCCGCGGUAAUACGGAGGAUCCAAGCGUUAUCCGGAUUUAUUGGGUUUAAAGGGUGCGUAGGCGGCCUGUUAAGUCAGGGGUGAAAGACGGUAGCUCAACUAUCGCAGUGCCCUUGAUACUGAUGGGCUUGAAUGGACUAGAGGUAGGCGGAAUGAGACAAGUAGCGGUGAAAUGCAUAGAUAUGUCUCAGAACACCGAUUGCGAAGGCAGCUUACUAUGGUCUUAUUGACGCUGAGGCACGAAAGCGUGGGGAUCAAACAGGAUUAGAUACCCUGGUAGUCCACGCCCUAAACGAUGAACACUCGCUGUUGGCGAUACACAGUCAGCGGCUAAGCGAAAGCGUUAAGUGUUCCACCUGGGGAGUACGCCCCGCAAGGGUGAAACUCAAAGGAAUUGAC